rnacentral:rRNA from 1 species
UACGAAGGGGGCUAGCGUUGCUCGGAAUUACUGGGCGUAAAGGGCGCGUAGGCGGAUAGUUUAGUCAGAGGUGAAAGCCCAGGGCUCAACCCUGGAAUUGCCUUUGAUACUGGCUAUCUUGAGUUCGGGGGAGGUGAGUGGAACUCCGAGUGUAGAGGUGAAAUUCGUAGAUAUCAGGAGGAACACCUGUGGCGAAAGCGGCUCACUGGACCAUAACUGACGCUGAUGCACGAAAGCUAGGGGAGCAAACAGG